GGGUAAAAUCGUAAAGAGUUCAAGUUUUUAAGACACUAGGAGGGUUUAAUAGUAAAUUACACCUACACUCCAUACUCACCCACUCACAAUUCUUUCCUUCUCUGCCCUCAAGAAACCUAUCCACACCCUCUGAAUCAAACCUCCAUCCCUUGAUUAUCUCAGACAUUCAAUUAGGAAUUCCAAACAUCUUCCUCUUUAUUUUCCUCCACAGAUUCUACUUAUUUUGGUAUUCGUCGAUUAAAGGUACUUAUUGUCACCCACUUUAAAUCUUUAUCUAGAGUAAACUGGACAUUCCAUCGCAGACCUGUUGCCCCGGCCGGAAAAUCCCCCCGCUGAUUCGCUGGCGACCAGCGUUGCUGCUUGCUCCUCUAGGUCAAACAAGGUUUUUUUGCUGAUUUUUGUUUAAUUCUGCAUCGGAAAUCAAGAUCACACACUCGAAUUGAAGAGCGUGCACGUGAGAAUCUAUACGAGAAGAUAUGUUGUGUUUUCAAGGACUAUUCUUCUGUCCCGAAGCCGCUUCAUUGCUUCUUCAUAAUUUCUGCAUUUAUCACAUCAGUCCACCUGGAGACGAGGUCUGUGAACGGACUUAUAUUAAUAUAGGGUUGUUUGGAUGUUCAUUUUGAACUUGAUUACUUAAUAUUAAAUAAUCAGAAUUAGAUGAUAAAAGUUGGUACUUAGAGGGUCUUUUGUAAACUUGAAAAUUAUGACUUAUUAUGAAAUUAAUAGAUAAAAUGACUAAAAUCACAUUUUUGUAGAAGAUGGGAAGACGUUUUGUUAAUUAAGAGUAAAAUUAUUUUGAUUAGUUUAAAAGGAAAUAAUUUUAUUUUGAGUAAAAUGGCAAAAUCGUCCCUGAGGUUUGGGCACUUUUGCCUGUUACAUCUAAAAUAAGAAUUUUUUGUCUGAUUUGCACUUGUGGAAUGUUGAUUAUGAGCUGGCCAAACUGUCGAUCUCUGAGAUGAAGCUUAAGAAACCUUAGAAUUUCUUUGUAGCUUCCGGUUUGCUUGGAGACAGAGGGUCUCUCACGUUGACUUUUCUUGGUCCAAGUGCAACACUCGAGCAUAUAUCCUUGAGCCCGGAUCGCAAACUCAUAGCUGUAGUUGGGGAUCAUCUUAAUGGAUUGCUUGUAGACUCUUCAAGUGGAAAGCCAGGAACUUGUGAAUACAAUAUAUUAUUUUAACUCUUCAUUUUGAUUUUCUUAUUUUCUUUUUUAGAUAAUGUCAUCAUUCAUCAUUCUUGGCUACUCAUAUUUUUUUUUUUUUGGCAGAGGGCUGCCACAAUGGAAGGCCACCUAGACUACUUGUUUGCAUCCGCAUGGCAUCCAGAUGGCCGAAUCUUUGCUACAGGAAAUCAAGACAAGACUUGUAGGCUAUGGGAUAUAAGAAAUCUUGCAACCCCGGUCUCAGUUCUUAAAGGCAACAUGGUCGCGGUUCGAUCGGUUCAUUUUUCAUCAGACGGGCAGUUUUUGGUGGUUGCAGAAGCUGCGGAUUUUGUUCAUGUCUGCAAUACCAAGCUAAACUAUGAAAAACGACAAGAGAUUGAUUUAUUUGGGGAGAUGGCUGGUGUCUCUCUUAGUCCUGAUGAUGAAACGCUUUACAUUGGCAUGCCGAACUGGAUUUAUUCGAGCUUGCUACAGUACAACAAACGACAUAGGUAUGGGUAUCUUGAUUCGUUUGUCUGAUAAAGAAAGCCGACUUGUUUGUUUCUGUUUGUUGGAAGAGACCAAGUAUCAUAUAAGACUUCCAUAAAAGAAAAAGUGUACCGAAAAUCUUUGAAGUUUAGAAAGGCUUGUUGAUAUUUAAAUUAUGUUUGGCUUAUGCGGGAAUCGCUUUAUUUA